GGAUCAUUAGCUCAGUCGGUAGAGCAACGGAUUCUUAAUCCGUGGGCCGUAGGUUCGAACCCUACAUGAUCCA
rnacentral:tRNA from 1 species